rnacentral:rRNA from 1 species
UGAGGAAUAUUGGGCAAUGCCCGCAAGGGUGACCCAGCAACGCCGCGUGGAGGAUGAAUGUCGUAAGAUUGUAAACUCCUGUUAGAGGGGAAGAAUAGUACCGGUUGGACCGGUAUAUGACUGUACCCUCAGAGAAAGCCCCGGCUAACUACGUGCCAGCAGCCGCAGUAAUACGUAGGGGGCAAGCGUUGUCCGGAUUUACUGGGUGUAAAGGGCGCGCAGGCGGGAUAAAAAGUCAGUGGUGAAAUCCUACAGCUUAACUGUAGAACUGCCCUUGAUACUUUUAUGCUUCGUUUCGGGAGAGAGAGACGGAAUUCCAGGUGUAGUGGUGAAAUACGGAGAUACCUGGAAGAACACCAGGUGCGAAGGCGGUCUCUUCGUCCGACACU